AUUGAACGCUGGCGGCAUGCCUUACACAUGCAAGUCGAACGGCAGCACGGGAGCAAUCCUGGUGGCGAGUGGCGAACGGGUGAGUAAUAUAUCGGAACGUGCCCGGUCGUGGGGAUAACGUAGCGAAAGCUACGCUAAUACCGCAUACGAUCUACGGAUGAAAGCGGGGGAUCGCAAGACCUCGCGCGAUUGGAGCGGCCGAUAUCAGAUUAGGUAGUUGGUGAGGUAAAGGCUCACCAAGCCGACGAUCUGUAGCUGGUCUGAGAGGACGACCAGCCACACUGGGACUGAGACACGGCCCAGACUCCUACGGGAGGCAGCAGUGGGGUAUUUUGGACAAUGGGCGCAAGCCUGAUCCAGCAAUGCCGCGUGCAGGAUGAAGGCCU
rnacentral:rRNA from 1 species